rnacentral:sRNA from 1 species
CUGUCAGUGAAGACGGAUUCAAGCUCCGGUUGUUUCCAUUUUCCUUGGGCGACAAAGCACACAUCUGGGAAAAGAAUCUGCCCCAUGACUCAAUCACCACCUGGGAUGAUUACAAGAAGGCUUUUCUAGCAAAGUUCUUCUCCAAUGCCAGAACUGCAAGACUCAGAAAUGAGAUCUCUGAUUUUUCACAUAAGACUGGUGAAAGCUUCUGUGAAGCAUGGGAGCGUUUCAAGGGUUACACCAACCAAUGCCCUCAUCAUGGCUUCAAGAAAGCCACUCUGCUCAGCACUUUAUACAGAGGUGUUCUACCAGGCAUAAGAAUGCUUUUGGAUACCACCAGCAAUGGGAAUUUCGAGAAUAAAGAUGUCAAAGAAGGCAGGGAAUUGGUUGAAAACUUAGUUCAGUCAGAUUACAAUGAGGACUGCGAUAGGACCAUUAGAGGAACAAUCGACUCUAAUGACAAACACAUGAAGGAGAUCAAAGCUCUGAAUGACAAGCUGGAUAAGAUUCUUCUUAGCCAGCAGAAGCAUGUGCACUUCCUUGUUGAUGACAAGCAGUAUCAGGUCCAAGAUGGGGAGGGAAACCAGUUAGAAGAAGUUAGCUACAUCAACAAUCAAGGUGGCUACAAAGGAUACAACAACUUCAAGACUAACAACCCUAACGUCUCUUACCGCAGCACCAACGUUGCUAAUCCUCAGGAUCAAGUGUAUCCUCCACAACAACAGCAGGUUCAGAACAAACCUUUUGUCCCCUACAACCAAAGUUUUGUUCCAAAGUAGCAAUUUCAGGGUAACGACCAGCAGCAACCACCACCUGGGUUUGCACCUCAGCAACACCAAGGUCCUGCUGCUCUUGACGUUGAUAUGAAACAAAUGGUACAACAGCUGCUACAAGGACAAGCAUCUAGCUCUAUGGAAAUUGCGAAGAAGAUAUCCCAAUUGCACCAUAAGCUAGACUGUAGCUACAAUGACCAGAAUGCAAAAGUGGAGGCUUGGAAGGACAAUCCGCAUCUACCUCUCCUCCCAAAGUUAUAGGACUUCCUGGGAAGUCAAUACAGAAUCCAAAGGCGUAUACAACAGCUCACGCCAUCACUAUUUGCCAUGAUCGAGAGCUGACAACUCCACUUGUUCCUAACUUAAUCACUGGGGACAGCGAUGUUCAAGAAAGAGAGGCUUCUACUCAGAUUGAGGUCUCUAUUGUUGAAUUCAAUCAGUCUGGUGGAUCUCGCCAUCUUAUUCAAUCCACCUCAGAAGAGAAAGCAGCCAUAAUCGAGAGAAUGGUAAAACGAUUCAAACCUACUCCAUUACCCUCACGUGCUCUUCCAUGGAAAUUCAGGAAAGCCUAGAUGGAGAGAUACAAAUCUGUUGCAGAGAAACAGCUUGACGAGAUUGAAGCAGUGAUGCCACUAAUGAAAGUUCUCAACCUGAUUCCUGAUAUUGGAAAGGAUCAAAAUGUAUUACGAUUCAGAUGAUUAAUGUGAUGCUUAUCCGUCUCGAGCUGCUGAUAAGAGGAUUGUUCAAGAAAAAUUAGAAGAUCCUGGAUCUUUUACUCUACCAUGCUCCAUUGGGGAAUUGGCUUUCAGCAAUUGCCUGUGCGAUCUCGGAGCCUCUGUUAGUUUAAUGCCACUCUCUGUGGCAAAGAGGUUGGAAUUCAUUCUGUACACGCUUUGUGACCUGACUUUGAUCCUUGCGGAUAGGUCUUCAAGAAAACCCUUUGGCAUGCUAAAAGAUUUACCCACAUGAUUAAUGGAGUGGAAGUGCCUACAGACUUCAUUAUCCUGGAUAUGGAAGAAGAACAUAAGGAUCCUCUAAUCUUGGGAAGACCUUUCUUAGCCUCAGUGGGAGCAGUGAUAGAUGUCAGGGAAGGGAAAAUAAGUCUCAACCUUGGAAAGCACAUCAAGCUGAAGUUUGACAUCAACAAAACUCCACAAAGGUCAACAAAAGAUGGAAAAACCUAUGAGGACGAUAGAGUGAUCCGGGGAGAAGGAUAUGAGACUAAAAGAGUAAAAGAGCUUAAAAAGAGGUCUGAUAAGCAAGAGAAAACUAUAGAGGAGCUAGCUAACACCGUUAAGGAACUUAAGAGUAAGUUAAAUCAGAUGCAAAAGGAAGCUCAACCUAAAGUCGGGAUUGACACUAUCCAGAGAAAAAAGUUCACUUCAAGAUGGUCUGAAGAGAUAGAUUACCCUCCAGAAGAGAAAAAAGCCUACUUUGAAGAAAAGGGAAUUGAGUAUUCUGUCGCACACCUCUCAAGGGAAGAUGCUGAGUAUGAUGAUGAGAACAGAGAGGACUAUGCAGAUCCUCACUAUUACUCAUUUUCUUCUUUAUAAGUGUGAGGAGUCAAGCUAGAGAGUUUAAACACUGCUCACUUGGGAGGAAGUCCCAUGACUAUCCCUGUAAAUGACUUUUUCCUUUCUUGUUAUUUUUGAUUUGUUUUAGUUGUGUUUGUGGUUCUCAGGAGCAAAGGAACAACGGGGAGAUAGAGGGAAAAUUCAAAGCUUUUACUCUACAGAGGGCCUAGAGAUUGAGUACACAGUCCAAUGAAGUGCUAAAAUUUGAAAUCUUUCUGUUGCACCUGGAGACCAACCACUCGAGUGAGGAGGUCGAGUAUAGGUGUAAUUUUAAAACAGAAUUUCUUUAAAAAAAAAUCAUCAUAAUACUCGACCAACAGAAGCUACAAAGACUUACAUAAGGUUUAUCAAGUUUAGAGAGGAUUGCGGGAUUUCCUGAAAUUUUCCCAAUGAAGAAAGAGCAAUGAUUCAGAACAAAAAGACAACCGUGGGACCCACCACUGCACCCUAUGUCUCCCACACUCCCAACCAAAAGACAAGAAAUCUCUCUCAUUUCUUCUCAACCAACCAUACCUCACCCUUACCCUUAUCAUCACUCGACCUCCAUCUCUUCAAAUCGCCAAACUCUUCACUCAUCACUCGACCUCAACAACCAUUUUCUCUACCUCAGUUUUUCCGCAACCUAUACUCGACUGCACCUCUCUCAUCUCUCAUCGUCGCUCGCUGCAAUUCAAGUUAUUCAAGUGCUCGACAUCACACUCGACUUCAUCACUCUCCAACUUCAACAAUUUCACUUGACCUCUCAUCACCAUCUUCCUCACCGACGCUUGACCAAACCACACCAUCUCUCCAUCGCCUUAUCACUCGACUAACUCAACGGAAAAACGAGAACGAAGAUGGUCUUCAUUCACUCGAUCGCAAUGCUCAUCGCUCAUCCGUUCACUUCUCUCUCUCGCAAACCAUCGAGCUAGUCUCACCACCGUUAAUCACUUGAUCCAUAGCCAAAGAAGGAAGAGAAGAGAAGUAUUCGACCACGAAAACGAUUUAGUCUUCAAACUCAUCAUCUCUUCAUCACUUCCACCGCCGCUGCUCUCUUCUCAACAAAAGCUCACCACUCGAACGCUUCUUCACUUCUCACACUCGCAACCAAGAAAUCAUGGCCUCUACCAUUACUCGACCGUCGUGAACCUCUUUGCUAUCUCUCACCGAAACCACCACCAUCUCUCGCUUCUCAACACUCGACCGCGUCACCAAACCGGGCAAGAAAACCAACUAUGAUCCAAUACAUCAAAUUCAACAAUUUCACUCGACCUGUUUCGGUUUACUCUACCCUGUUACUCGAUCAUUUUACUCGACCAGUUUGUGUUUUUGGUUUUGUUGGAACUAACGUAUUAACGUUGCUCUUUGAGUUCCAUCUGUUUACAGGAAAUCAACAUGAGUAACUACAGUGGUGAGUCUUCUAUGGAUCCAGAUUAUAAUGUGGAUGAAGCUGAAUCUUCGUCCACUAGACCAGAGAAAGAGGAACAUGUUUACGAAAGUUUUAGAGCACAAAUGCAACGCUCAGCAGCUUGACAAGUCAGAGAAGUGCUGAAAUCGGUAGAGGAAAGAGAGCGAUGUUGAGUAGGUAUGAGUUGAUUGAUUAGGACAUUGAGACUGAGUAUGAGUCAGAGUCAUGGCGCAAGGAGACAAAGCUACUGAACAAACCCGACGAGGUUCCAGUCGAAGAGUAUAUCAGACUCUUUGAGCUGAAAGAUUUCUAGGGAACGAGGUACCCCUGCUACGAGACUUUAACCCAGUUGGGGCUACCAGAGGACGUGCAGCACCUGUUCGAGAAGUGUCAUCUGAAGACACUCAUGUCCUACCCAUACGCUGCCUACAAGGAGGAAACGAUCGAGUUUCUGUCCACAAUGCAAGUGGAGAUGUAUCAGGGUCUCACAAAGUAUGAGUUGGAGAGUAUAGGAUUAGGGUUCUUGACGUUUUCGGUUGAUCAACAGCGCUAUCAGUUGUCGAUCAACAGUUUGGAAAGACUGUUUGGCUUCCCUAGUGGAAAGGGAACCAAGCCUAAGUUUGACAUGGAAGAGCUUAAGGAUUUGUGGGCUACUAUUGGGAACAAUGUGCCGCUAAACUCUGUGCGGUCCAAAAGCAACCAAAUCCGGAGUCCAGUGAUUCGCUACUUUCAGCGCUCAAUAGCCAAUGUUCUUUACUCCAGGGAGUCUACAGGCACUGUGUCUAACACAGACAUGGAGAUGAUAGAUUUCGCACUUACAGGCAUUCUCCGCCGUACAAAGCGAAAGAAGGUCCUGAGAGGCGAUCUCAAUGACGCGCCACCAGUAAUGCUUCUAUUGAUCCACCUGUGUGGAUACAGGAAGUGAGCGUUGACAAACGGCAAGAAGAAGGUGAGAGGAGCACUAUGCAUAGGUGGCGUUGUGACGCCAAUUCUGGCAGCUUGUGGAGUACCGCCGAAGGAACCAAGGUUAGAACCAAGAAUGAUGGAUUUAGAUCAUUUGCGUUGAUGUGAGUUCUUGGAGUAUGACAUGGUUGGCGACUUCUACCGCUACAGGUUUGAGCAUUCGUCGAUCAAAAUCGCCAAUAUUCUUCUCCCCUGCAUUGAAGCUACUAGAAUUCUCGAGGGAAAGAACAUUGACUUCAAGCCUGCGCCUGAAGAUAUUUAUUUCGAGGGCAGUCCGCCAACUGAGGAGAUCACUCACGAGGAAGGAGUUACAACAGAGGAGGUUGAUGAGACUAAUGAAACAGAUGAAGUGGAGUAUGACACGAGCAUGUAUCAUUUUAGUGAGCAUGUACCUCCAGCGAGGGAGAGCAAGAGUUUGAGUGAAUCUCACAGAAACAACAGCAAGUUGCAAAAGUGGUGCAAGAAACAAGAUAAAUUACUCAUUAAGUGCUUCAAGGCUAUCAAGUUUCUGAAGGACAAGCUAAGCUGCUCCUCUUCCACUACUGCUAUUCCGUAGGGACAGAUCCCUCAGGACUUACCGUCGAGGAGAUAUGACGAGCCUGAGCCAAGUCGGCGCAGGCCUGAGCCUAGUGAGCAAGAGGUCCCGCAUGUUCCUACAAGGCAUUCAUCAUUCGAGCCUCGUGAGUAUGGGAGAAAGAGGAGGACCGUGCUCACUCGAUCUAGCAGCAGGAGUAGAAGACUUCUGCAGUCUCGAAGUUUACACGACCGCGGUGCUGGCCGCAACAGAAGGAGAGAGGUCGAGUAUCCUCAGAGCGGUGUUGGCCGCCACAUAGCUGAUGAGGUCGAGUACCCACAUACUGGAGCUGAUACAGAACAGGGCGACUCGUCAAUGGCAUGGGAGCAAUCACAGGCAGCCAUUGACAACCAACUCCGUUCAUUCUUCGAUUGAGGUAAGCGCCUCACUUCACCAUUGUAUUAUACCAUCUCCUGUUUUUAUUUUGUUUCUGUGAUUUGUUUUGUCCUGGGUACUCUCUUCCAAAUUUGAUCACACAGUGGACUGUGUGAUUUCAGUUUGGGGGAGGGCUCAGAAAGUGUGUGUUGCAUUGUAUAUACUCUUGAGUCUGCAUUCAUCUAAUGCAUAGAAAAACCAAAAAAGAUUUGAAAAAAUUCAGAAAAUAAUUUCACAAAAACAGAGUCUUCAUGUAGUUGCAUUACAUUUAGGAUCGAGUCUAGAGUGUUUUAUUUAGGAUUGUUGCAUAUGCAUAGGGGAUAAUAAUGAGAUAGCCUUGUAAGCAUUUUGGUUCACCGGAUAAACUGAGUUCCCUCGUUGCUAGUUAUCUGUUUCGUAGUCAAUGAAAUUGAAGUAAAC